UACGUAGGGGGCGAGCGUUAUCCGGAAUUAUUGGGCGUAAAGCGCAUGUAGGCGGCCAUGUAAGUCGGUUGUGAAAUCCCGGGGCUCAACCCCGGAACUGCAUCCGAUACUGCAUGGCUUGAGGAAGGUAGAGGAGAGUGGAAUUCCCGGUGUAGCGGUGGAAUGCGCAGAUAUCGGGAGGAACACCAGCGGCGAAGGCGGCUCUCUGGGCCUCUCCUGACGCUGAGAUGCGAAAGUGUGGGUAGCGAACAGG
rnacentral:rRNA from 1 species